GGCAGUUUAUCGUUGAUUCGAUUUUGUUCUAUCAUCCGUGUUCGUCACAAUAUUUAGAUUCAAAUUUAAUUUUCAAAUUCUGGAGGGUUACUUCGAAAUACGGUGGAAUUCUUAUUUACUUAUGACUAAAUCUGCAGGAAAAAUUUUUUUGGUCCGAUAUCCAGUCGAGUGUUCUACAGUGUAAUUAAAUAUACAGCCCUUCCUUAACCCCGAUAAAUAAGCCUUGGUUUUUAUUGGAGGAAUACUACAAAAAUUACAUCGUUCUAUUUUGAAGACAUGAAAAAAUAUAUAUGAUUUGUGCGGCUGGCUUUGCAUUUCCAACAACACAGUUCAGUGAUAAAUCUUGAUUUUCCCUUACCUCUACUUUCGAAUUCUGAGCAUAACCUUGUAUUUCAAUAUAACCAGGUGGUGCUGAAUAAAAAAAACAUAGACAAAAAUUAGAACAAUUAAAAACAAUUAAAGCGUGCUGCAUCUUUGACAUCAAAAUUACCGGAACGAAAUCGACGAAACUAAAAUUGGCUGUUACAGUAUCAGGACAACAAAAACUAUCACGCCUGAUUUUCGUUUUCACUUUUAUCGAAUUAUCUUCCAUCUUUGACGCCUAUUCGAACAAUAUCUAGUCAAGCAAUCACAAAACUGUCCGAAACAAUGUGAUAUACAGAUUACUAAAGUCAUUAAUUGCAGAAAUAAUGAAAUUUUUGGAUAGAACUUUUAUAAAAAGCGCACAAAAAUAAGUUAAACUCCACAAAAUAGAAUAUACAACAUCCAUUUAUUAAAACAAACAAGGUUUACUGUUUCGCGCGAAGUUAUUAUAAGAUAUGUGUGGUAAAGCAAAAUAUAAUAGAAAAUUGAAAUUGUGAGGAAAAAUAUUGCUGAAAUUUUGAAUAUGUAAUAUUAAUUAAUAUUUACGAACAUAUAUUCACAUAUUUUUAGUUAUAAGGGGAAUUUAUUAAUAAUAAAUGGA